CUAUGAACACGAGGCAAUGAAACGUUCGAUGUAUUCGGGCACCUGUCGAACGUGGAGCUAGUGGUGCGACCGACGUUCUCAUGC
rnacentral:ncRNA from 2 species